AGCAGGUCAGGAGAGGUGAUCCUGCCCCUCUGCUCAGCCCUGGUGAGACACAUCUGGAGUGCUGUGCCCAGUGCUGGGCUCCCCAGCACAUGAGAGACAUGGACCUGCUGCACUGAGUCAUGCAAAAGGUCACAAAGGUGAUUCAGGGCCGUAUAAGCAGAGGCUGAGAGUUGGGCUUAUUCAGCCUGGAGAAGAGAAGGCUGAAGAGGACCUUAUCAGUGUUUAUAAAUAUCUGACUGGAGGGGAGAGGGGAGUAAGGAAGAUGGGCCAGACCCUUCUCGGUGGUGGUGCCCAGUGACACCACCAGAGGCAAUGGCCAUAAACAGAAAUGUAGGAAAUUCUGUGUGAACAAAAGAAAUAACUUUUUUACAGUUCAGUGGUCAAACACUGGAGCAAGUUGCCCAGAGAGGUUGUAGAAUCUCCGUCCUUGGAACUAUUAGAAACCUGACUGGAUGCAGCCCUGAGGAAACUCCUUUAUUUGCCCCUGCUUUGACCGAGGAUUGGACCAGAUGGUCCCAAAAAUGCUCAACCGUUCUGUGAUUCUGUGGAGUGGGCACACCUGUGCAUUUAUACAUCUGUGAACACACAGGCAUCAGCAUCUUGCUCCCAUUGCUUCUUCUCUCCUCUGAUGGUGUUUAAGCCCUUUUGAACAGCAGCCCAUGGAAGAGGAUGGGUGGACAGAUUGUCUAUUAAAACAGGACCAAAGCCAUAAGAAUAACAGCAUGAGAACAAUGCGAGAACAACUGACAACAGAGGAAAACAGCUGUCCCAGAAGAGCUGGAAAACACUCUUAUGGCAGCUUAGGAGAAAAGAACAUUGUACCUUGACAAGCACUGUGGUUUCCCAUCUCUGUCAAUGGGUUCAGCAAG
rnacentral:lncRNA from 1 species